UAACUGGGCGUAAAGGGCACGCAGGCGGUGACUUAAGUGAGGUGUGAAAGCCCCGGGCUUAACCUGGGAAUUGCAUUUCAUACUGGGUCGCUAGAGUACUUUAGGGAGGGGUAGAAUUCCACGUGUAGCGGUGAAAUGCGUAGAGAUGUGGAGGAAUACCGAUGGCGAAGGCAGCCUCCUGGGAUAACACUGACGUUCAUGCUCGAAAGCGUGGGUAGCAAACAGGAUUAGAUACCCUGGUAGUCCACGCCCUAAACGAUGUCAAUUAGCUGUUGGGCAACUUGAUUGCUUAGUAGCGUAGCUAACGCGUGAAAUUGACCGCCUGGGGAGUACGGUCGCAAGAUUAAAACUCAAAGGAAUUGACGGGGACCCGCACAAGCGGUGGAUGAUGUGGAUUAAUUCGAUGCAACGCGAAGAACCUUACCUGGUCUUGACAUGUACGGAAUCCUCCAGAGAGGGAGGAGUGCCUUCGGGAGCCGUAACACAGGUGCUGCAUGGCUGUCGUCAGCUCGUGUCGUGAGAAG
rnacentral:rRNA from 1 species